AGGGUCGUAGCUCAAUGGCAGGGUGUCUGCUUUGCAUGAAGAAGGUUCUAGCUUCAAUCCCAAGCAUCUCUA